rnacentral:rRNA from 1 species
AUUGAACGCUGGCGGCAGGCUUAACACAUGCAAGUCGAGCGGGGUGAUGGUGCUUGCACUAUCACUUAGCGGCGGACGGGUGAGUAAUGCUUAGGAAUCUGCCUAUUAGUGGGGGACAACAUCUCGAAAGGGAUGCUAAUACCGCAUACGUCCUACGGGAUAAAGCAGGGGAUCACUUGUGACCUUGCGCUAAUAGAUGAGCCUAAGUCGGAUUAGCUAGUUGGUGGGGUAAAGGCCUACCAAGGCGACGAUCUGUAGCGGGUCUGAGAGGAUGAGCCGCCACACUGGGACUGAGACACGGCCCAGACUCCUACGGGAGGCAGCAGUGGGGAAUAUUGGACAAUGGGGGGAACCCUGAUCCAGCCAUGCCGCGUGUGUGAAGAAGGCCUUAUGGUUGUAAAGCACUUUAAGCGAGGAGGAGGCUCUUUUGGUUAACACCCAAGAUGAGUGGACGUUACUCGCAGAAUAAGCACCGGCUAACUCUGUGCCAGCAGCCGCAGUAA